AAAGGGAUAAAAAGCGGGCAGGUUGGGGGGAGUUACACAAAAAGAGAGACCUUGGACGGAUACUCAGAGGAUUAAUCGGCCAUAGCAGGGGCCCUGAUGGAGGGGGAGCCAAGCGUAGAGAACAUGGCUGGCCCUCUCUCUAUCAAUCAGAGAACUCUUCUUCUACCCAAACCAAAUUGACCUGCCGAUGCACUGGCCACGUCCGGGCUCUAUGUGGAAAUAAAUCACACUGAAUCAGAGGCAGCUGGCAGACAGAUGACACAGUGCGUGGUCCGGGCUGCAUCUCUGUUCCCGGGUCAUCCAUUGCUCCCGGAGUGAUAAGUGGCUCUGUCCUGGUGCUACUCGUCUGGUGGUGCAUACACAGUCAAUCACUGAGUGGAGCCACAGUACAACGGCCGCCCAUGGAGGACAGCAGAGCAAUAACAAAACUCAAGCAGGCAGCCUUCACUAUGGAACCAACCCAGGAUGUAGCCAUCACUGACACACCUUAAUUGCUACACAGGAAACUUUCAGGAGAAGCAUUUCAGGAUAAGGUGAGCCGGCUGCAACCCUAAAAUGUGCUGGAAGCUGAGAUAACCUAUCCAAUAUCAGCAACUAAUGAGGCAGAAAGAGGAGCUGGAGCAGACAGACACUAUGAUUCCACCGCCAUACGUUUUCAUGUGCAAGAUAAGCUUUGUCAGAGGUCAGAUACUGUGUGGUAGUUUGACCAAUUUCCAGCACUAUUUCUGCCAAUGGCUGUCGAUUUGAUGGCAGCGUGGAUUGCCAGCCGUGGUGAACGAGCAGCUGCAGUGCUUUUGGCCCACAGGGGAAAUCUGUUUGGGCUGGCCGGAGUUGAACAGCUGAGUACUUUUACUCGUGGUGAGAAGAUUGCUCUCAUGUUUUAUUGAACGUUGCCUCCGGCACUUCUCAUCCUUGACAAUCUGAUUCUCUGAAGGUCCACCUCAUGACCUUAAUGUUCAACCAAUGGGGUGUUGCAGUUCAGUCACGUUGACCCCUCCAUCAACCUCAUCAGCCUCAUCGGUCCUUUGGGUGGCAUUUAUGGGCCACUCUCCAGCUGGAUUAAUAUCUUUGCAGCACACCUGCGUUGUACUUAAUUGUCCUUGCACCUAUAUAACCUGUCAUGUUUGCCCUUUCGUUCACUCUUACCAUUACAGGCAUCACUUUAUCAUCAAGUCUUGCUUCUCUGUUACUGUUAAAGUGCACAGCCAACAAUCUCCUCAUACUGAGUAUGCACAUGUCCUUUUGGCAAACAUAUUAAAUUUAGGUCAAGGCCCUCUCAUCCUGCCAGCAUCAGAUAGAAGAGUCUGUCUAGUCCCCUUGUCUGACCUCUACAG